rnacentral:lncRNA from 1 species
GUGCAUAUUUGUCUAUAUUUGUAUAUUUUGCGUUUUGGCAUCAGACCUAAUUAGAAAAGUAUUCAGAAUUUGCUGUUGUGUUCCUUUUCAGGUGUAACAACUACAUAAACACGUGGUACAUAGGGGAGAAUUGCGACUUUGAGUGGACCAUCUUGACCUUCGCCCUGGUAGCAACUCUACCAGGAUUGGCCCUGGCUGCUAUUGUUGGUGUGACGGUCCAGUGUGUCCAUUACUCAAGGAAACCAGCUGAGAAACAAAAGGAUCGGACAGAGGGGUGAGAGGGGGAGAGAGUUUGGACAAGGCUAAUUAUUUCCAUGUGUUUUGCACAUUGUAUGGCACCUAGUAUCAGGAAAUAAGCUUGUUAAAAAUAUUUAACAGAAUUGAUUCAGAUCAAAUCAAAAUCAAAGUUUAUUUGUCACGUGCGCCGAAUACAACAGGUACAAAGGACCUUACAGUGAAAUGCUUACUUACAGGCUCUAACCAACAGUGCGAUCUUUAAGUAAAAAUAGGUAUUAGGUGAACAAUAGACAAGUAAAGAAAUAGUCCAGGUAGCCAUUUGAUUACUUGUUCAGGAGUCUUAUGACUUCGGGGUAAAAACUGUUGAGAAGCCUUUUGGUCCUAGACUUGGCGCUUCGGUUAGGGUUAGGGUUGCCAUGUGGUAGUACAGAAAACAUUCUAUGACUGGGGUGGCUGGGGUCUUUGACAAUUUAUAGGGCCUUCCUCUGACACCGCCUGGUGUAGAGGUCCUGGAUGGCAGGCAGCUUAGCCCCAGUGAUGUACUGGGCGUAUGCACUACCCUCUGUAGGGUACAUUUGUCCACAGUCUUGUUUCAGGUUUGAAAUGACUAGACACUUAUCAUAUAUUUAUAAUGUAUAUUUCACUCUUUCCAGUUACACAAAUAAUGCAAUGUCACCAACAACAUAUGAUAGAAAUAACCAAGAUGACAUGUUCACCAACACUGUGUUUGCCUCAGACAUGCCGAAUCGGCCAAAGCCCUCCAGUAUUCAGCCCACCCAGGAGAGGUUUCCCAUGGCCAACUUACCCAACAGCCCUUACAGCCCCCAACCAAACGGCAUGCAGCCCACUUUAGAUAGAUCGUCUUUGACAAACCUUACAAGCCAGCCGUACAGCCCUUCACCAAACAGUAUUCGACCCUCUUUAGAUAGAUCGUCUUUGGCCUAUCCUCCAAGCCAGCCAUACAACUAUGCUACAGGUAUGACACAGCCCCUGGGUAACCCCUAUCCCAAGUCUCCAUCGCCAAGGAACCCGUAUGAAGACAGAGCACCACCUCCAGACCGUUAUGACGACCAGCAUAUGAGACCAACACAGCCCCCACCUGGAUACAACGGCAUGAUGAGAGAAGGCAUGUCUGGGUCUCCUGUGCCCAGUUCACCUGCUCCCCUCUACUCAGCUCCGGAGUACAACCCCAGGUCCCAGUUUCCCCGAGCCCAGAUGGGGAGACUCUACUGA